rnacentral:lncRNA from 1 species
GUGAUUUGUAUGUCUUCUUUGGAAAAAAUGUUUAUUCAGAACCUCUGUCCAAUUCUAAACAAGAUUGUUUGGUUUUUUGACAUUAAGUUGUAUGAGCUUUUUUCAUAAUCUGGAUAUGAGGACUUUCUCAACUUUCUACUAUCUCUAUGUUUAUUAGAUUCUUUAGUGAUUAAAGGUAAAUUCCAUAAAACCUAAGGACCAGGUUGUUUGCCCUUGGGCAUUUGAGGAAGAAGGAAUUUAUGGAAAUUCCAAGACUCUACAGUCAGUCUUGUUAUAAAGAAAAUGACAAAAGGAUUAGAGACAAUAACAACAUAAAAAAGGAAAGACAAGAAGUCUGCCCUGGGGCUCCUCCCCUCCCCCCCACACACAAAAGGAGAAGAUAGGGAGCUGCCUGGGCCUUAUAGCCUAGAAGCUUCUUCUCUGGUUUCCCAAAACCUUUAAUUCCUCUUGUCCAAAGAAUUGCAGCCAUCUUAGUGGACUUCUUAUAGCGCCUGUCUUUGCACCUGCCUUUUCUUCAGCCCAGGUUACUCUUCUUUGAGCACCAGAGCAGGGACUAAGUGCAAACAAGUCUCCUCUGGUGCAAAGUGUAACAAGACACCACUUUCUGGUGCUAGCCCUACAUUUCCACCACCAUGGGAGUGAGAGCUCCCCUCAAUUUUGCACCCUAGUUGCCUGUUGGGUAAAGCAAGGCUAUUUACCCUUCAGUGCUCAUCUACUCUGUCUCCAUAACCCCAGUCAAAAGUAACUGCUUGUCCUUAUGUGCUGCCACAACUCUUUGCUAAUUUUUCUAUUUAUAUUUUUCUAUUUCUAUUAUUUUUUUAUGAACCAACAUUUUUCUAUUAGUUAAUACUCCUAUCAUUCUAUGUCGAUAUCUGGAGUCAUCCUUGACUUUUCUCAUUCUUUCCCAACCACAUUCAAUACAUAGAGAAAUCAUCUUGACUCUGCCUUGAUAAUAUGCACCUGUCUGACCAGUUCUCACUCCCUACACUGUUACCACCUUCUUCUGAGACCCCUGAACAGUCACAGCAGCCUCCCAGUUUUCACUCAUUUGUCCUCCCCCCAUCCCCACCCCCAACUCCCAUCUCUCUCUAGUCUGUACUACACAAAGGAGUCAAGGGGAUCACCUUUAAAAUUUGAGACAAGAGUUCCCGCUGUAGCUCAGCAGUAAUGAAUCCGACUAGUAUCCAUGAAGAUGUGGGUUCAGUCCCUGGCCCUGCUUAGUGGGUUAAGGAUCCAGUGUUGCCAUGAGCCAUGCUUGGAUCUGGCAUUGCUGUGGCUGUGGUGUAGCCUGGCAGCUGUAGCUCCAAUUAGAUCCCUAGUCUGGGAGCUUCCGUAUGUCUCAGGUGGGGCCCUAAAAAUUUUUUUUAAUAAAGUAUUAAAUAAAUAAAUGAAAAGUUUGAGACAGAUCACAUCACUCCCCUAUCAAAACUCCCAAGUGACUCCCCAUUGACUCAGAACAAGAGCCAAUCCCUUACCAAGGCCUAAAUGCCCCAUCUGGUUCCCUACCACAUUCCCUGUCUCUCUCCAUUCCAGUCACAUUUAUUCUCCUCCCUAGUGAUCCUCCAAGCCCACUUCUCAGGUAUUUGCCAUUCAGUUGGUGCUACCUAGAAAUCUGUUCACUCAACAAGUAGCACAUUUUCUGCCUAGUAUUUUUUGGUUCUCUACUUAGCAUAUUCUCAAAGGCUAUCUGAACUAGUACCCUCAUCACUGCUUUACACUGCUUUAUCCCUUCACGUGGCUUUAUUUUUCUUCAAGGUAUUUAUUACUCUCUAUAUUUUAGUAUUUAUUUGUACAUUAUCUGUCUUUUCCACUAGAAUGUGGACUAAUAAGGGCAAGGAUUGUUGUCUGUUUUUUCCAUGAUUUAUCUUCGGUAUCUAGAACCAUGAGUAGUAUAGGGAAGGAGAUGAAUAGAUCAGAUAGACCAUGGAUGGAUAGACAGAUUGAUGGAUGAAUUCUGCUCAGCUGUAUAGCACAUUCACAUCAUUGUUUUACCCAUUAAAACCUUUGUGGUAACUGUCAAAAUCUCACUCCGAUCUAUUUCCAAGGCAUCUAGCAUAGUGCUGUGUCUCAUGCAUACUCAGUAAAUCUCUGUUAAACUGAAUCAAACCUACCUCUCUAUAACAUUUUUUCCAUUACUUUUAUCCAUCACACAUAAUUCUACAAGAUUAAGCCACCUAAAAUCCAAGUCUGAUCAUUUUUUUUUGUCCUACUACUGUAAAUCCUUCAAGGAAUUUUUCCUAAAUUUUUCAUGAAAUUAUUGUUUUGAGAAAUCUUCUAUUUAUGAAAUACAGAUAGUGUGCUUACAUGUUACUUAAUCUUCACAAUUACCUACUAGACAAGUAAUACUCUCAUCACUUGACAGACAAGGAAAUAGAGCCUCAGAAAAGUUUAAUGCUUUUUCCAGGGUCAGUUACCUAAUAAUUGUCUGAUCUACCUUAUUCCAAGAAUGCAGCUGUUACAAUACAUUUUGGUGUAAUUUCCUUGGUAUUCAAAGCCUUCCACAAUAUGGUCCCUAUCUAUCUUUUCAGUCUUACUCCUCUACUCUAGUACUCUAGCCAAAAACUAUGAUUAAACUAUAGAAGUUCAUGCUUCCUAGGAAAGCUUGUGUAAAACAGGAAAAAUGGGAAGUUAGCAAUUAGUAAAAAAUAGGGAAAUAAUUUUAUUUCUAUUUUUUUACUUAUUUAUUUAUUUAUUUUUAGGGCCACACCUGUGGCAUAUAGAGGUUCCCAGGCUAGGGGUCUAAUUGGAGCUGUAGCUGUCAGCCUACAGCACAGCCACAGAAACACCAGAUCUGAGCCACAUCUGCGACCUACACCACAGCUCACGUCAACACCAGAUCCUUAACCCACUAAGCGAGGCCAGGGAUCAAACCCCAGUCCUAGUCCAAUUCGUUUCCGCUGCACCACAACUGGAACUCCCCAGGGAAAUAAUUUUAAAGACAAUUAUAUUUCACUCCAAGGACUAUCAAUGAAAUUAGUAUCUAUCAAAAAUAACAUGGAUUGAUGGGUGGAUAGAUAGAAAUGCGACAAAGCGUCAAUAGUAAAAUGUUAACUAUGUCUAUGACUCUAAGUGAUGAGAAUACGUGUGUUCAUAGUAAAAUAUUUUCUUCGACUCUUCUUAUGCUUCAAAAUUUUUGUAAUAAAAUCUUAGGAAAAUGUAUCAAAUAAUAGGGAAAUUUCUUAUAAUAAAGUAGUAUAUUUUGAAAGCAUAGGAAAAUAGACUCUGCCCCCUCCCCAAAGAAAACAAUUUACAAAAUUAUUAAUAGUAGCUGUGUUUAGCUAGUACCAUAUGGGUAAUUUUAAUUUUUCCUUUUUGUAUUUUUAGCAUUUUACAAAUGUUUAAUGAGCAUGUCAUUCAGUUCAAAUUUUAAGUGUUUUAAAAAGUAAAAAUGCAUAGUAAAUUGCACUUUAUAAUCCUAUAAUAAAAUUAGCAGGAUUCAUGAGAAAGAAUAGGAAUCAACAGAUAGAGGCAGGCAGAUCAAAUGGAGAACUGGCCCUAAGACUGCCUCUAUGCUUUGAUAAAUGUUACCUGAAUUACUUAUAGGAUCACUCCCCACACCUUGUUUACCAAAAAGGUACCUGCUAUUUAAAUAUGCCUUUUAAAAUUAUUUCCUUGAUGAUUAAAAAGGCCAUUUCUAGUGGAACUCUUUCAUAUUCCUCUGGGUCCUAUUGCCUAGAGCUGAACCAAUAUCCACGUAGCCCUUGAUACUAUUCACUCGUAUUCACUUUAUUUGUUAGCAGAGGCCUCCAAUCAUAUGGAGCUGAAGAUUUGGUAAAUACAUCUUGGAAGCUUUUUGUAAGAAUAUUCCUGGAAUUCUGACUCCCCACUGCUAACAUAAAUAAAUUCUCUAUAUCAGCAUGCCAGAAUGGAGUUGGGCUUUGGAGCUAAGGUCAAGGGUAGGGUCAAUCAGCAGGGGUCUUAAAAAACUUCAGAGGCUAUGACAUCUCAGUGUAGAGUAAGUUUUUUCUAACGUAAAAGGGAAUGUUUGCAGAUUCUUGAAACAAACAAACAAAUGUGACUUGGCUUUUUUUUUUGGUCUCUUAAAAAAGCCAACUCUUUAGCAGUUCUCAGAUGGUAAACCCACAAAUAAAGCUCUAGGCCGCAUUUAGUUAAAAGAUAACUCUUCUGAGUUUUAACCAUUAUUUUAAUCAGGUAAUUUUCUACCAUAUAGCAAGCAGAGCCCAUUUAAUGGACAAAUUUUAAGCACAAAAAAGUCUCUAAGGCAGUAUCUUUGGAGAAAACACUAGAGAAUCAAGAGACUAUAAAAUUAAUACCAAAAAAAUUUAUUGGGCUUCAAUUAGAUUCUUGGCACAGUUUCAGUAUUCUAGUAUCAUACAGAUUUACCCAUAACUACAAUUUGGUUUGGAUUAUCUGAGGAAGAAAAUGAAGAUGUUCUUUAAAUUUACAAUGUAUAAAUGUCAUAUGAUUCUUAUAAUUCUAAGUGAAAUUAGCCCUAGCAAAAUAAUUGUUUCAUAUAGAUCUACAAAUACACAUUUAAUGUAAAAAUGAAGAAUCAUAGCAUUUUUAUUUAUUUGAAAUUAUUCUUAUUUCAAAUUUAGUUUCCAGAACAUAGACCUAUGUGGCAUUUCAUGAAAAAAGUAUUCAAUAGUCAAAUAAGUCUGGGAAAUGGUAUAUGAUCUACCCUUAUCUUGAAAACUUAUAAUUCAAAUAAUCAUAUUAAAGACUUCAAGAAAUUCUUUAAGAAGCCAGUACAACUUUGUUUAACCCAAUGUUUCUGAAAUUUCCAUGAUCAUGGAGCCCUUUUAUUGCCUAGCAUUUAUUAACAUUUUGCAGAACCUCUUUGGGAAACAGUGCUCUAGACCUCAUUAUCCUCAUUUUUAUAGGAAGCGAGGGUUUGGAGAUAAACUAGUUGGCUUAAAGAAACAGUUCUUUAUUUACUUAGACUCAUCGGAAGGUAAACUACACAGUAUUUUGUUUUCUUUUUCAGGUACACCCAAGGCAUAUGGAAGUUCCCAGGCCAGGGAUCAAAUCCAGGCUGCAGCUGUGACCUUCCCCAUGGCUGCAACAAUGCUGUAUCCUUAACCCACUGCACCACAGUGGGAACUCC